ACAUCAAAAUAGAUAAAUUGCAGUGAAGAGAGUUAAGUUAAU
rnacentral:guide_RNA from 1 species